rnacentral:rRNA from 1 species
AACUAACAAGGAUUCCCUUAGUAGCGGCGAGCGAACCGGGAGAAGCCCAGCUUGAAAAUCGCGUUUUCUGAUAAAAAAGGGAAUGCGAGUUGUAGUCUGGAGAAGUGUCCUCUGCGGCGGACCCGGCCUAAGUCCCCUGGAAAGGGGCGUCAGAGAGGGUGAGAACCCCGUCGGGCCGGGACCCUGUUGCUCCACGAGGCACUGUCAAGGAGUCGGGCUGUUUGGGAAUGCAGCCCUAAGCGGGAGGUAAAUUCCUUCCAAGGCUAAAUACAGGCGGGAGACCGAUAGCGAACAAGUACCGCGAGGGAAAGAUGAAAAGGACUUUGAAAAGAGAGUUAAAAAGUGCUUGAAAUUGCUGGGAGGGAAGCGAAUGGAGGCCUGCGGUGCUUGCCUCGGUCGGAUGCGGAACGGCGAAAGCUGGUCCGCCGCUCGACUCGGGGUGCCGGUCGGCGUGGGCUUUCUCGGCGGGAUAAAAGUCGGUCCCUCCUUUUCGUUUCGGCGAGGGGAGUUUUGGUGCCGGCCUAUGCCGUCGGGGAGGUCGAGGAACCCGUAAGAAGUGCGCGUCUCUUUUGAGACGGGUUCUUCCGUGAGAACGGAAGGGCACCUGCGUACUCGA